rnacentral:rRNA from 1 species
UACGUAGGGUGCGAGCGUUGUCCGGAAUUAUUGGGCGUAAAGAGCUCGUAGGCGGUCUGUCGCGUCUGCUGUGAAAUCCCGAGGCUCAACCUCGGGCUUGCAGUGGGUACGGGCAGGCUAGAGUGCGGUAGGGGAGAAUGGAAUUCCUGGUGUAGCGGUGAAAUGCGCAGAUAUCAGGAGGAACACCGGUGGCGAAGGCGGUUCUCUGGGCAUGACCUGACGCUGAGGAGCGAAAGUGUGGGGAGCGAACAGG